rnacentral:rRNA from 1 species
ACUCCGGGAAACCGGGGCUAAUACCGGAUGGUUGUUUGAACCGCAUGGUUCAAACAUAAAAGGUGGCUUCGGCUACCACUUACAGAUGGACCCGCGGCGCAUUAGCUAGUUGGUGAGGUAACGGCUCACCAAGGCAACGAUGCGUAGCCGACCUGAGAGGGUGAUCGGCCACACUGGGACUGAGACACGGCCCAGACUCCUACGGGAGGCAGCAGUAGGGAAUCUUCCGCAAUGGACGAAAGUCUGACGGAGCAACGCCGCGUGAGUGAUGAAGGUUUUCGGAUCGUAAAGCUCUGUUGUUAGGGAAGAACAAGUACCGUUCGAAUAGGGCGGUACCUUGACGGUACCUAACCAGAAAGCCACGGCUAACUACGUGCCAGCAGCCGCGGUAAUACGUAGGUGGCAAGCGUUGUCCGGAAUUAUUGGGCGUAAAGGGCUCGCAGGCGGUUUCUUAAGUCUGAUGUGAAAGCCCCCGGCUCAACCGGGGAGGGUCAUUGGAAACUGGGGAACUUGAGUGC